UACGUAGGGCGCAAGCGUUAUCCGGAAUUAUUGGGCGUAAAGAGCUCGUAGGCGGUUUGUCGCGUCUGCCGUGAAAGUCCGGGGCUCAACCUCGGAUCGGCCGUGGCGACUCGUGGGCUGGAGCACUGUAGAGGCGGGUGGAAUUCCGGGUGUAGCGGUGGAAUGCGUAGAGAUCCGGAAGAACACCAGUGGCGAAGGCGGCCCGCUGGGCAGUGGCUGACGCUGAAGCGCGACAGCGUAGGGAGCAAACAGG
rnacentral:rRNA from 1 species